rnacentral:sRNA from 1 species
CUCGUCGAUCAGGCCGGGGCAGAUGAAGUGAAUGUGCGUGUCGAUCCCGCCGGUGGUGACGAUCUUCCCCUCGCCGGCGAUCACCUCGGUGCCGGGCCCGACCUCCAUCCCCGGUGUCACCCCGGCCAUCAGAUCGGGAUUCCCCGCCUUGCCGAUGCCGACGAUCCGCCCGCCCGCGACCCCGAUGUCGGCCUUGACGAUGCCCCAGUAAUCGACGAUCACCGCGUUGGUGACGACAAGGUCGAGCGCCCGCCCCGCGCCGACGGCGUGCGGCGACUGGCCCAUCCCGUCGCGGAG